AUUGAACGCUGGCGGCAUGCCUUACACAUGCAAGUCGAACGGUAACAGAUCUUCGGAUGCUGACGAGUGGCGAACGGGUGAGUAAUACAUCGGAACGUGCCUAGUAGUGGGGGAUAACUACUCGAAAGAGUGGCUAAUACCGCAUGAGAUCUACGGAUGAAAGCAGGGGAUCGAAAGACCUUGUGCUACUAGAGCGGCCGAUGGCAGAUUAGGUAGUUGGUGGGAUAAAAGCUUACCAAGCCGACGAUCUGUAGCUGGUCUGAGAGGACGAUCAGCCCCACUGGGACUGAGACACCGCCCAGACUCCGACCGGAGGCAGGAGUGGGGAAGUUUUGACAAUUGGCGCAAGCCUGAUCCAGCAAUGCCGCGUGCAGGAUGAAGGCCUUCGGGUUGUAAACUGCUUUUGUACGGAACGAAAAGCCCUGGGUUAAUACCCUGGGGUCAUGACGGUACCGUAAGAAUAAGCACCGGCUAACUACGUGCCAGCAGCCGCGGUAACAC
rnacentral:rRNA from 1 species